rnacentral:rRNA from 1 species
AGCAGCCGCGGUAAUUCCAGCUCCAAUAGCGUAUAUUAAAGUUGCUGCAGUUAAAAAGCUCGUAGUUGAAUUUCGGGAUCAAUAUGUUGGUCGUGCCUUGGUACGUACUAGCUCAUUGGUUUCUCCCUUCUGACGAACCAUGAUGUCAUUAAUUUGAUGUCAUGGGGAAUCAGGACUGUUACUUUGAAAAAUUAGAGUGUUUAAAGCAGGCUCGCGCUUGAAUACAUUAGCAUGGAAUAAUGAAAUAGGACAUUUGAUUCUAUUUUGUUGGUUUCUAGGAUCGAUGUAAUGAUUAAUAGGGAUAGUUGGGGGCAUUAGUAUUCAAUUGUCAGAGGUGAAAUUCUUGGAUUUAUUGAAGACUAACUACUGCGAAAGCAUUUGCCAAGGAUG